AGUCAACAUGCCCAGGGGACGUGGAUAACCUCGGGAAACUGAGGAUAAACCGCGAUAGGUCAUCACUUCCGGAAUGGGUAAUGACUUAAACCUAUAUGGCCCCUGGAUUGGACUGCGGCCGAUCAGGCUGUUGGUGAGGUAAUGGCCCACCAAACCUGUAACCGGUACGGGCUCUGAGAGGAGGAGCCCGGAGAUGGGCACUGAGACAAGGGCCCAGGCCCUAUGGGGCGCAGCAGGCGCGAAACCUCUGCAAUAGGCGAAAGCUUGACAGGGUUACUCUGAGUGAUUUCCGUUAAGGAGAUCUUUUGGCACCUCUAAAAAUGGUGCAGAAUAAGGGGUGGGCAAGUCUGGUGUCAGCCGCCGCGGUAAUACCAGCACCCCGAGUGGUCGGGACGUUUAUUGGGCCUAAAGCAUCCGUAGCCGGUUCUACAAGUCUUCCGUUAAAUCCACCUGCUUAACAGAUGGGCUGCGGAAGAUACUAUAGAGCUAGGAGGCGGGAGAGGCAAGCGGUACUCGAUGGGUAGGGGUAAAAUCCGUUGAUCCAUUGAAGACCACCAGUGGCGAAGGCGGCUUGCCAGAACGCGCUCGACGGUGAGGGAUGAAAGCUGGGGGAGCAAACCGGAUUAGAUACCCGGGUAGUCCCAGCUGUAAACGAUGCAGACUCGGUGAUGAGUUGGC
rnacentral:rRNA from 1 species